rnacentral:rRNA from 1 species
UACAGAGGGGGCAAGCGUUGUUCGGAUUUACUGGGCGUAAAGGGCGCGUAGGCGGCAAUUCAAGUCAUCUGUGAAAUCUCCGGGCUUAACUCGGAACGGUCAGAUGAUACUGCUUUGCUAGAGUGCGGAAGGGGCAAUCGGAAUUCUUGGUGUAGCGGUGAAAUGCGUAGAUAUCAAGAGGAACACCUGAGGUGAAGACGGGUUGCUGGGCCGACACUGACGCUGAUAGCGCGAAAGCCAGGGGAGCAAACGGG